CCUACGGGGGGCAGCAGUGAGGAAUAUUGGUCAAUGGCCGCAGGGCUGAACCAGCCAAGUCGCGUGAGGGAUGACGGUCCUAUGGAUUGUAAACCUCUUUUGUCAGGGAGCAAAGGGCGCCACGUGUGGCGUUUUGCGAGUACCCGAAGAAAAAGCAUCGGCUAACUACGAGCCAGCAGCGGCGGUAAUACGGAGGCUGCGAGCGUUAUCCGGAUUUAUAGGGGUUCAAGGGUGCGCAGGCGGAAUGUCAAGUCAGCGGUAAAAUUUCGGGGCUCAACCCCGUCGUGCCGUUGAAGCGUGCGUUCUUGAGUGAGCGAGAAGUAUGCGGAAGGCGUGGUGUAGCGGUGAAAUGCAUAGAUAGCACGCAGAACUCCGAUUGCGAAGGCAGCAUACCGGCGCUCAACUGACGCUCAUGCACGAAAGCGUGGGUAUAGAACAGGAUUAGAUACCCCUGGAGUC
rnacentral:rRNA from 1 species